AAGGAUGUAUAGAGUAAACAUUGACAGGAUUGAAGAGCCAUGAUGACUUGGCCCACACAUGUGGGAUAAAGGAGAGCUUGUUGAAAAGAUAGCUCUAAAUCUGGGCUAACUGGGGUAACAGCUGCUCCUGAGGCAUUCAGGCAAAUACGUAAAAUCUCCGUUCCUCUGGCGCCAAUCACUCUGACAGCCCAAUUGUGACUCAUUACAUUCUAGCCCACAGAACUCCAUUUAAAACAGGUGAGGGAAUUUUUUUAUUGCUGUGUGGUGAAGUUUCAGACAAGAAGGCUAAAGAGGUGUCCUCAAUCAGAUGGAUGAUUAGACUCCUUGUGAAAUCAGAGGGAAAGAAGAGACUUAUGGGGAGAAGAUUCUCACAGGUCCAUUGCUGACAUAGUAGGCAGAUGCUGAAAAGUACCCUGAAUAGGGGUAAUUCUCUCAGGAACACAGCAGGGAAAUGGAUCCUUGAACUUCUCACGACCUGAGUUUUGCACCAAGCUUCUCUCCUGAGAAUGGACAUGGGGAUCAAGUUCAACACAUAGUCAGAGAGGGCGUGAAAGAGUUCUUAGAAUUUGGGACCACUGGCCCUCCUUCCAUGUUACCACCCAGCACCUCUUCUUCGGUAGCAUGAUGGAUGACAGAACUAUUUAUGAACUUCUCAGCCUUCAGCUGCCUGGAUACAUGGAGCACGAGCGUUUUAGUUUUUUACCAGAACUUUACCACUGUUGCCUAAAGAGACAUUGACAAGGGAAUAUGUCUAAUAUUGGUGGGAUUUCAAACAUAAAUAAUUUCAAAACCCGUGUUGUAUCACCCCUACUCUUCAUUCUGUAGCAAAAAGGAUAGGACAUCACUACCUGCUCAGGAAAUGCCUUCGUUCUGCUCCUCCCCUGAUCCCCUACCAGUAGUCACAGGACCUUCUCAAUUUCAUUCAGUUCAGAAAGGUCUUUUGCCCCUUAAUCCAUUCACAGAAGAUGAAAUUAUGUGUAGUAACUUUUUAAAAAUCUUCAAAUCCCGGCUAUAUUCCUUAAAGCUGUGACAAAGUGCUUGAGCCUCAAAAUCCUAUUUUGGAAAAUUGGUGAUGACAAUGUCUACUUCCCAGUGUUCUUAGAAGCCAUUAGGGCUGCCAUAGGCAGCAUUUUUACAUCAGUGCCUAUCAUUGAACUAAAAACAAUUGCUUUACUGAUCCUAUCUAUUUCCCUGAGAUAGUAAUCCUUUGACACAUCAGUUUGUAUUACUGGAAUAAACACUUCAGUGUCCUGGUAUUCCAGUCUUUACUGCCUUCCUCCCUUCCAAUCCAUUCUCCACUAGCUGCCAGCUUAAUAUAUCCAAAUGUUUGCCAGUUUCUUAAAUCAUCAUGGCUGACUGUUUACUCACAGAUUAAGUCCAGGAUCCCUAAUUUGUAUUCUAAGCAAAUCUGCUUUGGCUUCCAUCUUUUCUCCAGUUACUCAGACUUACAAUGCCACAACCACACAGAGCUGAAAGUGGUUUUAAACACACCUGGUAUU
rnacentral:lncRNA from 1 species